rnacentral:rRNA from 1 species
UACAGAGGUCUCAAGCGUUGUUCGGAUUCAUUGGGCGUAAAGGGUGCGUAGGUGGCGCUGUAAGUCGGGUGUGAAAUUUCGGAGCUUAACUCCGAAACUGCAUUCGAUACUGCGGUGCUUGAGGACUGGAGAGGAGACUGGAAUUCAUGGUGUAGCAGUGAAAUGCGUAGAGAUCAUGAGGAAGACCAGUGGCGAAGGCGGUUCUCUGGGCCGAUACUGACACUGAGGAGCGAAGCGUGGGGAGCGAACAGG